GUAGCUCAGUGGUUAGAGCAUCCGACCGGUGUGCGGAAAGUCAUGGGUUUCGACUCCCAUCCACCA
rnacentral:tRNA from 1 species